rfam:Bacteroides sp. CAG:443 genomic scaffold, scf68
GCAGUUGGUCGGUUUGUCGCUGGUACCUUAUGGUACAAGAGGAAAGUCCGGGCAACACAGAGCAUCCUACUUCCUAACAGAAAGCUGCCUGCAAAGGUAGAGUAAUGCAGAAGAAAAUAACCGCCUGUCCGCACCGGAGAGGCAAGGGUGAGAAGGUGGGGUAAGAGCCUACCAGACGUAUAGCGAUAUGCGGGCUGUGCAUCUUAGGAGUUGUAAGGUCAUGUAAACCGGCAUUAACGAGGGUUGCUCGCCCCACGUCGGAGGGUAGACCGCUAGAGCUUACUGGUGACAGUGAGCGUAGAUAAAUGACAGACACUCUGCGCUUCGGCACAGAGAACAGAACCCGGCUUACAGACCGACUGCUUUU